rnacentral:rRNA from 1 species
CGAACGCUGGCGGCAGGCUUAACACAUGCAAGUCGAACGCCCGGGCAACCGGGAGUGGCAGACGGGUGAGUAACGCGUGGGAACGUACCCUUCGGUUCGGAAUAACUCAGGGAAACUUGAGCUAAUACCGGAUACGUCCGAGAGGAGAAAGAUUUAUCGCCGAAGGAUCGGCCCGCGUCCGAUUAGCUAGUUGGUGGGGUAAUGGCCUACCAAGGCGACGAUCGGUAGCUGGUCUGAGAGGAUGAUCAGCCACACUGGGACUGAGACACGGCCCAGACUCCUACGGGAGGCAGCAGUGGGGAAUAUUGGACAAUGGGCGAAAGCCUGAUCCAGCCAUGCCGCGUGAGUGAUGAAGGCCUUAGGGUUGUAAAGCUCUUUCGGCGGGGACGAUAAUGACGGUACCCGCAGAAGAAGCCCCGGCUAACUUCGUGCCAGCAGCCGCGGUAAUCCUGAUGGCGCGAGG